GUCGAGCGGUAGCAGGAAGUGCUUGUACUUGUGCUGACGAGUGGCGGACGGGUGAAUAAUACUUAGGAACAUGCCUUUGUGUGGGGGAUAACCAUUGAAAAACGAUGGCUAAUACCGCAUAAUGUGUUUGGACCAAAGAGGGCUUUCGGGAUCUCGCGCAAAGAGUGGACUACGUGAGAUUAUCUAGAUGGGGUGGUAAAGGGUCUCCCCGGCGACGAUCUCUAUCUGUGCUGAGAGGAAAAUCUGCCACACUGUGACUGAGACACGCGCCCCACUCCUACGGGAGGCAGCAGUGGGGAAUAUUGCGCAAUGGGGGAAACCCUGAUGCAGCCAUGCCGCGUGUGUGAAAAAAGCCUUCGGGUUGUAAAGCACUUUCAGUUGUGAGGAAAGGUUGAUGGGUAAUACCCAUUACAUGUGACGUUAUCAACAGAAAAAAGACCCCCUAUCUCCGCGCCACCAGCCGCGGGAAUACGGAGGGUCCGAGCGUUAAUCGCAAUUACUGUACGUAAAGCGCACGCACGCGGGUUGAUAAGCUAUAUGUGAGAGCCCCGCGCUCUACCUGUGAAUAGCAUUUAUAACUGUGAGACUAUAGUGUCGUAGAGAGGAGUG
rnacentral:rRNA from 1 species